rnacentral:rRNA from 1 species
GACGAACGCUGGCGGCGUGCCUAAUACAUGCAAGUAGGACGAAGUUGCGAACGGGUGAGUAACGCGUAGGUAACUACCUAUUAGAGGGGGAUAACUAUUGGAAAAGAUAGCUAAUACAGCAUACGAGUAGAUGAACAUGUGGUGUAUUAGCUAGUAGGUAGGGUAAUGGCCUACCUAGGCAACGAUACAUCGACGAACUGAGAGGAUGAUCGGCCCAACGGGGACUGAGACACGGCCCAGACGCCGAAGGGAGGCAGCAGUAGGGAAUCUUCGGCAAUGGGGGGAACCCUGACCGAGCAACGCCGCGUGAGUGAAGAAGGUUUUCGGAUCGUAAAGCUCGGUUGUUAAGGAAGCGGUACUUAACCAGAAAGGGACGGCUAACUACGUGCCAGCCGCCGCGGUAAUAC